ACCUCGGUGGUGUAAUGGUAGCACGCGUUCUUGGUAUGAAUGGAACGCGGGUUCGACUCCUCUCUGGGGUC